rnacentral:lncRNA from 1 species
AAUAAAAAGACUCGAGAUUAUCUUCUAAAGAAUUAUCUAGGCUUGAUAAGAAAAUAACAAGGUAAAAGAUCUAAAGCUUCUAAUGCUCUGUUGGAUGAUAAUAUUUUCUUUGGUGAAAAAGCCACAACCAACAUUAGACCACGAUCAGAUGCUGACCCGAGUGAUACAUCAUCUAUAAAACCACCAUCUCGGUCUGAUACAUCGAGUUUGUUAAGCCUGUUGACAGACCACAAACACGUGAUGAGACUGGAGAUGCAUGAGAAAAGCCAAUGACAAGAGAGGGUUUCAAGGUCGGUUAUGGCAUUAUUGAAUUUGUUGACAGACCACAAUCGCAUGGUGGGAAUAGAGAUGCAUGAGAAAAAGCCAAUGACAUGCGAAGGUUUCAAGGUGGGAGGAAUAAAGACUUCCUUGACAGAAAAAAUAGAGAUAGGUUCAUUGUAUAUUCCAUAUUCAAGGUGGGAGGAAUAAAGACUUCCUUGACAGAAAAAAUAGAGAUAGGUUCAUUGUAUAUUCCAUAUUUUAACUUGUGUUGCUAUUUUUUUGUUUCUUCUUUCUUUGCAUCUUGCUUGGUAUAAAGGUAAACUAAAACAUAAACUGACCACUUCACUGCAAACUGAACCAGCCAUCCUGAAAGUGAAUUUGGUCAUUUCCGUUUCUUAAUACAAUUGCACUAUAGCAGUAAAAACUUGAAAUGUAAUAAAAUAUACUCUCUUUAAAAUUGCACUAUGGCAGCAACAGGGUCUCCCGACACAUGUGAAUCUCACAGCUAGGCUGCAAAUAAAGCACUUUCAACUCAAUAGAAAAUAAACUAAACCCAACCAACCCUUUGAAUAAACUGAACCAAAUUAAUCAAAUAGUGACAGUUUCAACCAAAAAAAUGCUCAUUCUUAUAACUAAGACCUAAUAAACUGGUAUGGAUCACAUGAUUGAUAAUCUACUCUAAGAAAUCUAUAAAAUUAAUAGAAAUAUAAUAAAUUAUAGAUUAAAUGCAAAUAAUAAUUUCUUAUUAAUUAAUUCUUAUUUCUAGACUUAAAAUCAAAACCAAAUGUAAUGUAAUGUUGGCAGGUCACAAUCGUCAUCGAUAAUUGAUUCUCUAUAGGCAAAGGAAGAAAGAAACAAAAAAGGCCAGCAACAUAAGUUAAAAUGUGGAAUAUAUAAU